UCCAGACUCCUACGGGAGGCAGCAGUGGGGGAUAUUGCACAAUGGGGGAAACCCUGAUGCAGCAACGCCGCGUGAGUGAAGAAGUAUUUCGGUAUGUAAAGCUCUAUCAGCAGGGAAGAGAAUGACGGUACCUGACUAAGAAGCCCCGGCUAACUACGUGCCAGCAGCCGCGGUAAUACGUAGGGGGCGAGCGUUAUCCGGAUUUAUUGGGUUUAAAGGGUGCGUAGGCGGAUCGUUAAGUCAGUGGUCAAGUGGGGGGGCUCAACCCCUUCCCGCCAUUGAAACUGGCGCUCUUGAGUGGAAGAGAAGUAUGCGGAAUGCGUGGUGUAGCGGUGAAAUGCAUAGAUAUCACGCAGAACCCCGAUUGCGAAGGCAGCAUGCCGGCUUCCGACUGACGCUGAAGCACGAAAGCGUGGGGAUCGAACAGGAUUAGAUACCCCCGUA
rnacentral:rRNA from 1 species